GGUUAUACAAAUUUCGGCCCGCUCCAUGUGUACCCAUCACGCUCCCGUGAACGGACGGACCCGGCGAAACGCGGCGGCUGCCAAGAUCCGCGCCGCGCCGCCUCGCCGCCGCGUUCGCCGCCUCGAGCACGCAAGAUCCGCGCCAUGCAGCCUCGCCGCCUAUCGAGUGUCUUACUCGGAGAUGUGCGGGAUGCGGGCCAGCGGCGCGGCAGCGUCGUGGGCGGUGGAGCGGACGCGCACCUCUACGACGACCCGGACGGCGCCGCCAUCCCGGGUCCCGGCGCUCUUCGACUCCCGCUUCGACGGCGACAAGCUCGACGCCCUCAAGCACCUUCUCGCCCUCAUCUCUCCCCGCAGUGAGUAGAAAAUGUUGUUUUUUGGAAGAUUCAAGGAUGUUCGAGGAGUGACCAAAAGCAUUGAAGACUUUGCCGAGCGAG